GAUGAACGCUGGCGGCGUGCCUAAUACAUGCAAGUCGAACGAAGAUCUAGCUUGCUAGACCUUAGUGGCGAACGGGUGAGUAAUACAUAAAUAAUCUGCCCAUAUGACUGGGAUAACUAUUGGAAACGAUAGCUAAUACCGGAUAGGUUGAUUGGAGGCAUCUCUGAUUAAUUAAAGUAGGAUUUCUACACAAAUGGAUGAGUUUAUGGCGCAUUAGUUAGUUGGUGGGGUAACGGCCUACCAAGACGAUGAUGCGUAGCCGACCUGAGAGGGUGACCGGCCACACUGGGACUGAGACACGGCCCAGACUCCUACGGGAGGCAGCAGUAGGGAAUUUUCGGCAAUGGGCGCAAGCCUGACCGAGCAACGCCGCGUGAGUGAUUAAGGCCUUCGGGUUGUGAAGCUCUGUUGUAAGGGAAGAACAUUCAGGAUAGGAAAUGAUCUUGAACUGACGGUACCAUACCAGAAAGCCACGGCUAACUACGUGCCAGCCGCCGCCGUAA
rnacentral:rRNA from 1 species